rnacentral:rRNA from 1 species
GCAAGUCGAACGCGAAAGUUUUCUUCGGAAAGCGAGUAGAGUGGCGACGGGUGAGUAACGCGUAAGUAAUCUACCCUGGCAUCUGGGAUAACCCACCGAAGGUGUGCUAAUACCGGAUACGCUGAUUGAUCAGGAAAGGUGGCCUCUAUUAUAAGCUACUGUGCUGGGAGGAGCUUGCGUACCAUUAGCUAGUUGGUAGGGUAAUGGCCUACCAAGGCAACGAUGGUUAGCGGGUCUGAGAGGAUGAUC